AUCCGGCUGACAAGUCCAAAAUAGGACGAAACGCGCUUCCUAGAU
rnacentral:hammerhead_ribozyme from 1 species